rnacentral:rRNA from 1 species
UGAGUACGAGCGGCUACGGCCGCGAAGUGGAUGAUGUCAAGCUUCCAAGAAAAGCCCUAUACCCGUUAAGGCAUGAUGGCCUGUACCCGAAACCGACACAGGUGGGGUGGUAGAGAAUACCGAGGGGCGCGAGGUAACUCUCUCUAAGGAACUCGGCAAAAUGGCCCCGUAACUUCGGGAGAAGGGGUGCCACCGCGAGGUGGUCGCAGUGAAGAGGCCCAGGCGACUGUUUACCAAAAACACAGGUCUCCGCUAAGUCGCAAGACGAUGUAUGGGGGCUGACGCCUGCCCAGUGCCGGAAGGUUAAGGAAGCUGGUCAGCGCAAGCGAAGCUGGCGACUGAAGCCCCGGUGAACGGCGGCCGUAACAAUAACGGUCCUAAGGUAGCGAAAUUCCUUGUCGGGUAAGUUCCGACCCGCACGAAAGGCGUAACGAUCUGGGCGCUGUCUCGGAGAGAGGCUCGGCGAAAUAGAAUUGUCUGUGAAGAUGCGGACUACGUGCACCCGGACAGAAAGACCCUAUGAAGCUUUACUGUAGCUUGGUAUUGUGCUCGGGCUCGGAAUGCGCAGGAUAGGUGGGAGGCUUUGAUCCAUUGCUUGCGGGUGGUGGUGAGCCACUGGUGAGAUACCACUCUUUCCGAGCUAGAGUUCUAACAGCAACCCGUUAUCCGGGUGCUGGACAGUAUCAGGUGGGCAGUUUGACUGGGGCGGUCGCCUCCUAAAAGGUAACGGAGGCGCGCAAAGGUCUGCUCAGGCUGGUUGGAAAUCAGCCGACGAGUGUAAAAGCAGAAGCAGGCUUGACUGUGAGACCUACAAGUCGAACAGGGAGGAAACUCGGCUUUAGUGAUCCGACGGUUCUGCGUGGAAGGGCCGUCGCUCAACGGAUAAAAGUUACUCUAGGAUAACAGGCUGAUCUCCCCCAAGAGUUCACAUCGACGGGGAGGUUUGGCACCUCGAUGUCGGCUCAUCGCAACCUGGGGCUGAAGUCGGUCCCAAGGGUUGGGCUGUUCGCCCAUUAAAGCGGUACGCGAGCUGGGUUCAGAACGUCGUGAGACAGUUCGGUCCAUAUCCGGUGCACGCGCAGGAAUAUUGAGAGGAUUUCUCCCUAGUACGAGAGGACCGGGAGGAACGCACCUCUGGUGUGCCAGUUAUCGUGCCAACGGUAAACGCUGGGUAGCCAUGUGCGGAGUGGAUAACCGCUGAAAGCAUCUAAGUGGGAAGCCCACCUCAAGAUGAGUAUUCCCAUGGCAUAAGCCAGUAAGGUCACGGGAAGAACACCCGUUGAUAGGCUCUACGUGGAAGCGCAGUAAUGUGUGAAGCGGAGGAGUACUAAUAGACCGAGGGCUUGACC